rnacentral:rRNA from 1 species
CCUACGGGAGGCAGCAGUGGGGAAUCUUGCGCAAUGGGCGAAAGCCUGACGCAGCCAUGCCGCGUGAAUGAUGAAGGUCUUAGGAUUGUAAAAUUCUUUCACCGGGGACGAUAAUGACGGUACCCGGAGAAGAAGCCCCGGCUAACUUCGUGCCAGCAGCCGCGGUAAUACGAAGGGGGCUAGCGUUGCUCGGAAUUACUGGGCGUAAAGGGAGCGUAGGCGGAUAGUUUAGUCAGAGGUGAAAGCCCAGGGCUCAACCUUGGAAUUGCCUUUGAUACUGGCUAUCUUGAGUGUGGGAGAGGUAUGUGGAACUCCGAGUGUAGAGGUGAAAUUCGUAGAUAUUCGGAAGAACACCAGUGGCGAAGGCGACAUACUGGCCCAUUACUGACGCUGAGGCUCGAAAGCGUGGGGAGCAAACAGGAUUAGAUACCCUGGUAGUCCACGCUGUAAACGAUGAGUGCUAGUUGUCGGCAUGCAUGCAUGUCGGUGACGCAGCUAACGCAUUAAGCACUCCGCCUGGGGAGUACGGUCGCAAGAUUAAAACUCAAAGGAUUGACGGCUGAGACGNGCGAGGACGACGACGAGGGAGAGG